AGAGAUUAUAUUCUUAGUCAAGUUACUGCAGCAAAAGAAGAACUUCUAGCGAAGAGGAGGAAACAAUUGAAGAAAGAUACAGCCAGUAAAAUAAAGUCAUUGGUUGAUGAGGGAAAAUAUGAACAACAAUAUGAACGGUCUGAGGAGUUCCAGCAGGAACUCAAAUUGAAGGUUCGAGAAAUAUUAACCGAGCAAGAAUGGCGAAGAAGGAAAAUGCAGAUGAGGAUAUCAGAAGAGGAAGGUCGAUUGAAGAAGGAUGAAGAAGAACAAAAGGAGAUGUGGAAGAGAAAGCGUGAACACGAGGAGCAGUGGGAAGGAACAAGAGAACAGAGGGUUUCAAGCUGGAGAGAUUUCAUGAAGACAGGAAAGAAGGGUAAAAAAGGAGAAAUUCGACCGCCGAAACUCAAGACAGAGGAUCCCAACAAAUCCUAUGUUCAAAGGCCUGUAAAGCGAGGUUAACUGUAGAUUGGGGGUCAACCAAGUUUUCUUGAGAGCUGAAGAGUGCUUUUAAUUGAAAGGAUUAAAACUUUAUAACAGUAAUAUAUUAAUACAUUUAAAAGAGAUUGUAUAAUACAUUUAUUAAUGUGUUUUAUUUUCAAAUCCUUGAAGAAUCAGUUCAAACAAAAAAA
rnacentral:misc_RNA from 1 species